rnacentral:rRNA from 1 species
AGCGGCGGACGGGUGAGUAAUGCUUAGGAAUCUGCCUAUUAGUGGGGGACAACAUUCCGAAAGGAAUGCUAAUACCGCAUACGUCCUACGGGAGAAAGCAGGGGAUCUUCGGACCUUGCGCUAAUAGAUGAGCCUAAGUCGGAUUAGCUAGUUGGUGGGGUAAAGGCCUACCAAGGCGACGAUCUGUAGCGGGUCUGAGAGGAUGAUCCGCCACACUGGGACUGAGACACGGCCCAGACUCCUACGGGAGGCAGCAGUGGGGAAUAUUGGACAAUGGGCGGAAGCCUGAUCCAGCCAUGCCGCGUGUGUGAAGAAGGCCUUAUGGUUGUAAAGCACUUUAAGCGAGGAGGAGGCUACUCUAGUUAAUACCUAGAGAUAGUGGACGUUACUCGCAGAAUAAGCACCGGCUAACUCUGUGCCAGCAGCCGCGGUAAUACAGAGGGUGCGAGCGUUAAUCGGAUUUACUGGGCGUAAAGCGUGCGUAGGCGGCUGAUUAAGUCGGAUGUGAAAUCCCUGAGCUUAACUUAGGAAUUGCAUUCGAUACUGGUCAGCUAGAGUAUGGGAGAGGAUGGUAGAAUUCCAGGUGUAGCGGUGAAAUGCGUAGAGAUCUGGAGGAAUACCGAUGGCGAAGGCAGCCAUCUGGCCUAAUACUGACGCUGAGGUACGAAAGCAUGGGGAGCAAACAGGAUUAGAUACCCUGGUAGUCCAUGCCGUAAACGAUGUCUACUAGCCGUUGGGGCCUUUGAGGCUUUAGUGGCGCAGCUAACGCGAUAAGUAGACCGCCUGGGAGUACGGUCGCAAGACUAAAACUCAAAUGAAUUGACGGGGGCCCGCACAAGCGGUGGAGCAUGUGG